UUAAUGUUUUUAAAAAUAUGUUUGUAAUCGUAAUCAAUACACGGAGAGGAAAUUCGUUAACUAAUGGAGAUUCAAGCCAUAGUGAUUAAUUAUAAAAAUGAAUCGAAUAAAUUGUAAGUGUUUAAUUAUAUUUCGAAAUUUUAAUCAUUUAUUGGCUUACUAUCAUCAUUGGGAGGAGAAAGAUACGGUUAGGGAGGAGGAACAUAAGGGGGAUGUGAAGGAAGCGGAACACCAGUAACAGGAUCAGGAGGACAACAUUCACAUGAUCCGUCUUGAUCUGCUGGUAGUCCAUUACUGCAAGUCGAGAUUAUNGAACACCAGUAACAGGAUCAGGAGGACAACAUUCACAUGAUCCAUCUUGAUCUGCUGGUAGUCCAUUACUGCAAGUCGAGAUUAUCCCAUUGGAUGGUAUUGGAUGACAUCCCGUUAAACAAUCCAGCUCUGGUCGCGAAUUUAUUGAAAUUACACAGAAUAAUAAAACACAACAUAAGGGAAAUAUUACAAAAUUUUGGGACAUCAUUAAAAUAUCAGCUUCUUAAAAAUUAAUAGUCCUAAAUCACUGCCUGUUUGCCACUUAGAAAA